rnacentral:rRNA from 1 species
UACGUAGGGUGCGAGCGUUGUCCGGAAUUAUUGGGCGUAAAGAGCUUGUAGGCGGUUUGUCGCGUCUGCUGUGAAAAUCCGGGGCUCAACCCCGGACUUGCAGUGGGUACGGGCAGACUAGAGUGUGGUAGGGGAGACUGGAAUUCCUGGUGUAGCGGUGAAAUGCGCAGAUAUCAGGAGGAACACCAGUGGCGAAAGCGGCUUCCUGGUCCAGCACCGACGUUCAGGCACGAAAGCGUGGGGAGCAAACAGG